GACGAACGCUGGCGGCGUGCUUAACACAUGCAAGUCGAACGGAAAGGCCCUGCUUUUGCGGGGUGCUCGAGUGGCGAACGGGUGAGUAACACGCGAGUAACCUGCCCCUGACUUUGGGAUAACUUCAGGAAACUGGGGCUAAUACCGGAUAGGAGCUCCUGCUGCAUGGUGGGCGUUGGAAAGUUUCGGCGGUUGUGGAUGGACUCGCGGCUUAUCCGCUUGUUGGUGGGGUAGUGGCUUACCAAGGCUUUGACGGGUAGCCGGCCUGAGAGGGUGAACGGCCACAUUGGGACUGAGAUACGGCCCAGACGCCUACGGGAGGCAGCAGUGGGGAAUAUUGCACAGUGGGCGGAAGCCUGAUGCAGAGACGCCGCGUGCGGGAUGACGGCCUUCGGGUGGUAAACCGCUUUCGCCUGUGACGAAGCGUGAGUGACGGUAAUGGGUAAAGAAGCACCGGCUAACUACGUG
rnacentral:rRNA from 1 species